AUGCAAAAGGAGAACGCAGGUCAGUGUGAAGACCAAGACGGGAAGACAUGGAAAGCCGAGGCUGAGCUCACCAGGGUCUCCUCAGUGCGACUGCACCAUAGCAAAGUGCUGAUCAGCCAGGGCAGGACAGGCCAGAGCUGCCCACACUACGUGCCUGGAAGCAGCUCAGUGACCGUGUCCUCCAGCACCUGGCCCAGCCAGCCCGUCAUCUGCAACGUAGCCCACCCGGCCAGCAACACCAAGGUGGACAAGAAAAUUGGCCCAGAAGUAUCAUCUGUCUUCAUCUUCCCCCCAAAGCCCAAGGACGUGCUCACGAUCUCUCUGAGUCCCAAGAUCACGUGUGUGGUGGUGGACAUUAGCCAGGAUGAUCCCGAUGUCCAGUUUAGCUGGUUUAUAGAUGACAUAGAAGUACACACAGCUCAGACGGAACCCCGGGAGGAGCAGUUCAACAGCACCUUCCGCGUAGUCAGUGUCCUCCCCAUCCUGCACCAGGACUGGUUGAAUGGCAAGGAGUUCAAAUGCAAGGUCAACAGCGCGGCCUUCCCCGCCCCCAUCGAGAAAACCAUCUCCAAGAAGAAAGGGCAAAUCCGGGCUCCACAAGUAUACGUCAUGCCACCGCCCAAGGAGCAGAUGACCAAGAAUCAAGUCUCUGUCACCUGCAUGGUAACAGGCUUCUACCCUAGUGACAUUGAUGUGGAAUGGCAGAAGAAUGGACAGCCAGAGCAGAACUACAAGAACACCCUGCCUGUCUUGGAUGAGGAUGAGACUUACUUCCUCUACAGCAAGCUCAAUGUAAAGAGGAGCGAUUGGGAGGCACAGAAUACUUUCACCUGCUCUGUGGUCCACGAGGCCCUGCACAACCAUCACACAGAGAAGAUUCUCUCCCACGCUCCUGAGCUGGAACUGGACGACAACUGUGCUGAGGCCCAGGACGGGGAGCUGGACGGGCUCUGGACGACCAUCACCGUCUUCAUCAGCCUCUUCCUGCUCAGCGUGUGCUACAGUGCCACUGUCACACUCUUCAAGGUGAAGUGGAUCUUCUCCUCAGUGGUGGGGCUGAAGCAGACACUGGCUCCCGACUACAAGAACAUGAUUGGACAAGGGCCUUAG